rnacentral:lncRNA from 1 species
UUCUCCUGAGAAAGGUUGUUUUUGAACAAAUUCUAUGUAUUCGGGGUCUAUCUCAAAACUAGAUGCUAUGAUAGGCUUUGAAGAUUUUGGUGGUUCGAGAUGUGUGCCCGUAGGUCUAUGAAAUUCAUAUAUAGACAUGUUUGAAUUCAUAAUAGACCAGAGAUCAAGGAUUAGAUAAAAAGAAAGAACAGUAGAGAUAAGGCAAAAGAUAAAAGGAAAAAUAUUUUUUUUAUUUUUUUAGAAAAUGAUUAAGCUAGUUCGUAGUCAACUCAGCAACCGUUUCCCCGACAACGGCGCCAAAAAUGCUUGUUGACACUUGCUAACACCACUUGAAUACUAGGUUGUCAUCCCCAGCAUGGCACUAGAGUGUACUAUGGUAUUUAUACGCAUAC